AGUCUGUCAGUUUAGGUUGGGCCUAGUGAAAUUAUGCAGUACUACUCAGACAGUUAAUUUCCAUUAGUGGUUCAUUAAUUACAUUCUAAUCCAGACUAUUGCCAUGGCUGAACAUUCUUUUUCAUCCAUUCUAAUGCUAUUUUAGGGUAAGAGGUGGGCAGACUUCCAGAGCAAAGUGAAUAGUAGUUAUUGGCCUGCCUUGAAGAUGAACUGGAAAGUGUGGACCCCCUUCCAGUUCAUCAACAUCAACUAUGUGGCUGUAGAGUUUCGAGUGCUGUUUGCCAACAUGGUGGCCUUAUUUUGGUAUGCUUACCUUGCGUCUGUGAGGAAGUGAAGACUCCCAAGAUCUUCUCCCUGAUUACUGAAGUAAGAAGGCACAGGGUGUGCCUCUGAAGCUGCAGAACAUUACAAGGAUAGGUCUGUGAAUGCCAGUGCAGCAAGAUGGUACAACCAGGCAAAUUGACUGGGGUGAUGUGAAGGACUUCACUCGCAUACUACAAAAGUACUACACUAACGAAAUCAUAACACAUCUAAUGGGUUGUUCACAUGCAGAAUAACCGAUAACUAAAAUGUUCAAUGUUAAUUCUUACUACUGAAAUUUCCAGUCUUAAAUUAAUUGUGGCAAGGUGUAUUUUGGUUUGAACAAUGAUAAAUACAUGUUACCUAUUCUUGAUAGAUACAAAUGUAUAUUAUAAUUUAAGAUGAAGCAUAUGUGCUGUAGGAAGUUAAUAUCAGUAACAAUUUCAACCUUGAAGGCAACUCAUUUAACACCAUAUGAAUAUGCAAUGUUAAGAUUUAUCACACCACAAUGCAUUGUGUAUAUUGCUGACAAGGCUGACCUGUAGUUUGAGUCUCAACUCAACUGUAAAUGUUACUGCUCUUUCUGUCUAUCAGGUCAAGUAAGGGAGCAACAGCACAUCGGACUGAAACUGCCAAAGUAUUUUACAUCCUGAUGUAUUUGACUUAACUGUAUUUUAUAAAUGAAAGCAAAAAAAAA